UGCAAGACCGUGCGAGCCGCGGGGGUAAUACGUGGGUGGGAAGCGUUCACCGUAAGUACUGGGCAGAAAGCGCACGCAGGCGGUUGGAUAAGGUAGAUGUGAAAGCCCCGGGCUCAACCUGGGAAUUGCAUUUAAAACUGUCCAGCUAGAGUCUUGUAGAGGGGGGUAGAAUUCCAGGUGUAGCGGUGAAAUGCGUAGAGAUCUGGAGGAAUACCGGUGGCGAAGGCGGCCCCCUGGACAAAGACUGACGCUCAGGUGCGAAAGCGUGGGGAGCAAACAGGAUUAGAUACCCUGGUAGUC
rnacentral:rRNA from 1 species